UACGAAGGGGGCUAGCGUUGCUCGGAAUCACUGGGCGUAAAGGGCGCGUAGGCGGCGUUUUUAAGUCGGGGGGUGAAAGCCUGUGGCUCAACCACAGAAUGGCCUUCGAUACUGGGACGCUUGAGUAUGGUAGAGGUUGGUGGAACUGCGAGUGUAGAGGUGAAAUUCGUAGAUAUUCGCAAGAACACCGGUGGCGAAGGCGGCGACCUGGUCCAUGACUGACGCUGAGGCGCGAAAGCGUGGGGAGCAAACAGG
rnacentral:rRNA from 1 species